rnacentral:rRNA from 2 species
AGGACGAACGCUGGCGGCAUGCCUAAUACAUGCAAGUCGAGCGAACAGAUGAAGUGCUUGCACUUCUGACGUUAGCGGCGAACGGGUGAGUAACACGUAAGGAAUCUACCUAUAAGCGGGGGAUAACAUUCGGAAACGGGUGCUAAUACCGCAUAAUAUCUUCUUCCGCAUGGAAGAAGAUUGAAAGACGGCUCUGCUGUCACUUAUAGAUGACCUUGCGGUGCAUUAGUUAGUUGGUGGGGUAACGGCCUACCAAGACGAUGAUGCAUAGCCGACCUGAGAGGGUGAUCGGCCACAUUGGGACUGAGACACGGCCCAAACUCCUACGGGAGGCAGCAGUAGGGAAUCUUCCGCAAUGGGCGAAAGCCUGACGGAGCAAUGCCGCGUGAGUGAAGAAGGCCUUCGGGUCGUAAAACUCUGUUAUAAGAGAAGAACAAAUUGUAGAGUAACUGCUACAGUCUUGACGGUAUCUUAUCAGAAAGCCACGGCUAACUACGUGCCAGCAGCCGCGGUAAUACGUAGGUGGCAAGCGUUGUCCGGAUUUAUUGGGCGUAAAGGGAGCGCAGGUGGUUUCUUAAGUCUGAUGUGAAAGCCCACGGCUUAACCGUGGAGGGUCAUUGGAAACUGGGAAACUUGAGUACAGAAGAGGAAUGUGGAACUCCAUGUGUAGCGGUGGAAUGCGUAGAUAUAUGGAAGAACACCAGUGGCGAAGGCGACAUUCUGGUCUGUUACUGACACUGAGGCUCGAAAGCGUGGGGAGCAAACAGGAUUAGAUACCCUGGUAGUCCACGCCGUAAACGAUGAGUGCUAGGUGUUGGAGGGUUUCCGCCCUUCAGUGCCGCAGUUAACGCAUUAAGCACUCCGCC